rfam:M.musculus GPX3 gene
GUGUCUCUAUGAAGGAGGGGCCCGAAGCCCUUGUGGGCGGGCCUCCCCUGAGCCCGUCUGUGGU